rnacentral:rRNA from 1 species
UACGUAGGGGGCAAGCGUUGUCCGGAAUUAUUGGGCGUAAAGAGCGUGUAGGCGGCCAGAUAAGUCCGCUGUGAAAUCUCGAGGCUCAACUUCGAGCUGUCGGUGGAAACUAUCUGGCUAGAGUCCGGAAGAGGAGAAUGGAAUUCCUGGUGUAGCGGUGAAAUGCGCAGAUAUCAGGAAGAACACCCGUGGCGAAGGCAGCCCCCUGGGCUAGCACUGACGCUCAGGCACGAAAGCGUGGGGAGCAAACAGG